rnacentral:rRNA from 1 species
CACGUAGUUAGCCGGUGCUUAUUCUUCAGGUACCGUCAUUAGAUCUCUGUAUUAGAAAAACCCGUUUCUUCCCUGACAAAAGAGCUUUACAACCCGAAGGCCUUCUUCACUCACGCGGCAUUGCUGGAUCAGGCUUGCGCCCAUUGUCCAAAAUUCCCCACUGCUGCCUCCCGUAGGAGUCUGGACCGUGUCUCAGUUCCAGUGUGGCUGGUCGUCCUCUCAGACCAGCUACUGAUCGAUGCCUUGGUAGGCUUUUACCCUACCAACUAGCUAAUCAGAUAUCGGCCGCUCCAGGAGCAUGAGGUCUUGCGAUCCCCCACUUUCAUCCGUAGAUCGUAUGCGGUAUUAGCGUAACUUUCGCUACGUUAUCCCCCACUCCAGGGUACGUUCCGAUAUAUUACUCACCCGUUCGCCACUCGCCGCCAGGUUGCCCCGCGCUGCCGUUCGACUUGCAUGUGUAAGGCAUGCCGCCAGCGUUCAAUCUGAGCCAGGAUCAAA